rnacentral:sRNA from 1 species
CGGCGGCGCAGUAUCCUAGUCAGAUCUGCCGUUUCCUAGGGAGGGCCUAAAAAUCCUCUGAAGGGCACAUCGAUGAAACCUCUGGUGCUUGCUUGAUACGCCCAGUUUCGGGUGGGUGCUGGGGGGAAGUCCGGGUCAUUUCGCCGGACUUGCGGUCUCAGGGCGCUUUCCAAUGGCAUGGUUAACCCGACCCUGUUUCCGUGGAGACCUGCUGUUGUGCACAGACGUACUCCCAUCGCGGUAUUUUCGGCCUGUGUACGAGGCAGAUUGGGAACCUGCAAUGCGGUGCAUCGGUCCUGCGGGGCCGUAACGCUGUGUGCAGACGUAGCCUGCCUUGCGUGGGCCGGGUGGAUAGGGGCCUGCCGUUCCGGCCGGAACGGACACCCCGAUCGCUCCUUGAAACCCGUCCUGCAAAAGAGGCUAAAGAAACGGACGGACUGUGGUGGAAAACACCUAGGCUGUUCGAUCGCCGAGACAGAAAAGGGAUUGCAGUGCGGACUAAGUGGCAGUCGGGUCGCGCGGAGCGGCGACGCCGCGCCGCGGCGCCAAAGGGGGAACCGCCUCCACCGGCAACGGGAGGUGCGCCGCGGGGAAAUCCAACCCGGACCUAAGCCGUAAGAUUUACCUUUUCUGCCGCCGCUGA